rnacentral:lncRNA from 1 species
GUUCCGAACUAAAAAAGGGACAGAUGGCAAUAGGUUAUACUAUCUUGAUCCUUGAAGAUUUUCACUACUACGAUACCACCUUUUCAGGAAAGGAAGGGGUGACUAAGACCUGCAAACUAUAUACUACGAAAUAGGAAUAAAAAUACUAAGGAUAAAUUGACAGAUAAACUAAUAAAUGGAACUUGUAAUUGACUCAAUUGGUGAUUGCUUGCCUUUCUUAGGACUACAAUUUCACACUUAUAAAUAUUCUCCUUAACUACUAGAUAGUUGUCUUCUUCUAGUACCAACACCUAUUCUUACUGGCAACUGCUACUCCAUCCACUCUCUUUUGACAGUUGUCGUAGUUGGUUUUAUCCACAUCUCUACUUUUCACACUCGAUCUUUUAGCAAUUGCUUCUACCUCUCA